rnacentral:rRNA from 1 species
UACAAAGGGGGCAAGCGUUGUUCGGAAUUACUGGGCGUAAAGGGCGCGUAGGCGGCCUGUUAAGUCGAACGUGAAAUCCCCGGGCUCAACCCGGGAACUGCGUCCGAUACUGGCAGGCCUGAAUUCGGGAGAGGGAAGCGGAAUUCCGGGUGUAGCGGUGAAAUGCGUAGAUAUCCGGAGGAACACCAGUGGCGAAGGCGGCUUCCUGGACCGACACUGACGCUGAGGCGCGAAAGCUAGGGGAGCAAACGGG